AUUAUUUUUCAAUCUCAACAAUCACUAAAUAACUCUAUGUUUGGUUUCAUUAAAGCUUCACCAAAUUACUAAAAUCAAUGUCAAUCUCCGAGUAAGUACCAUAAACCUAAUCAAACCAAUGUCAAUCUCCAUAUUCUUUUUUGUAAUCUCUCUUCGCCAUCUCUCUUCGAUUAAAGUGCGCAACCUAGGGUUUACGGAUAAUUUGAAGUGUGCAACCUACAGUUUACGGAUAAUUUGAAGAUCUCUUUAAUGUCUUCACCUACUAAAGUUGCUGACUGGAAUUAGGAAGGAAGCAGAGACCGACUUUAAAUGUUACAGCAGGAAUGGAAGAAGUUCUCCAGAAUAUUAGAAAUGCAGUUUGAUAAAGAGCUUAACUAAAAAGUUGCCAUCAUUGGCGGAAAUGUUCAUUGCCACGCGCAAGAGAAAAGCAGGCCGUUUUUACAAGGAAUUAAGGGAAGAUACAACU